rnacentral:rRNA from 1 species
UACGGAGGAUGCGAGCGUUAUCCGGAUUUAUUGGGUUUAAAGGGUGCGUAGGCGGACUGUCAAGUCAGCGGUAAAAUUGAGAGGCUCAACCUCUUCCCGCCGUUGAAACUGGUGGUCUUGAGUGGAUGAGAAGUACGCGGAAUGCGUGGUGUAGCGGUGAAAUGCAUAGAUAUCACGCAGAACUCCGAUUGCGAAGGCAGCGUACCGGCACCCAACUGACGCUGAGGCACGAAAGCGUGGGGAGCAAACAGG